rnacentral:rRNA from 1 species
CAAUAAGCGGAGGAAAAGAAACCAACAGGGAUUGCUCUAGUAACGGCGAGUGAAGCAGCAAUAGCUCAAAUUUGAAAUCUGGCGUCUUCGACGUCCGAGUUGUAAUUUGUAGAGGAUGCUUCUGAGUAACCACCGACCUAAGUUCCUUGGAACAGGACGUCAUAGAGGGUGAGAAUCCCGUAUGCGGUCGGAAAGGUGCUCUAUACGUAGCUCCUUCGACGAGUCGAGUUGUUUGGGAAUGCAGCUCUAAAUGGGAGGUAAAUUUCUUCUAAAGCUAAAUAUCGGCCAGAGACCGAUAGCGCACAAGUAGAGUGAUCGAAAGAUGAAAAGCACUUUGGAAAGAGAGUUAAAAAGCACGUGAAAUUGUUAAAAGGGAAGGGAUUGCAACCAGACUUGCUCGCGGUGUGCCGCCGGUCUUCUGACCGGUCUACUCGCCGCGUAGCAGGCCAGCAUCGUCUGGUGCCGCUGGAUAAGACUUGAGGAAUGUAGCUCCCUCGGGAGUGUUAUAGCCUCUUGUGAUGCAGCGAGCGCCAGGCGAGGUCCGCGCUUUCGGCUAGGAUGCUGGGCGUUAAUGGUUCGUAAAUUCCACGNCCCCCGUNCGUAUGAAAAACCACCCGUGAGA